GGAAUUGACGGGGACCCGCACAAGCGGUGGAUGAUGUGUUUAAUUCGAUGCAACGCGAAAACCUUACCCACCUUUGACAUGUACGGAAUCCUUUAGAGAUAGAGGAGUGCUCGAAAGAGAGCCGUAACACAGGUGCUGCAUGGCUGUCGUCAGCUCGUGUCGUGAGAUGUUGGGUUAAGUCCCGCAACGAGCGCAACCCUUGUCAUUAGUUGCUACAUUUGGUUGGGCACUCUAAUGGGACUGCCGGUGACAAGCCGGAGGAAGGUGGGGAUGACGUCAAGUCCUCAUGGCCCUUAUAGGUGGGGCUACACACGUCAUACAAUGGCUGGUACAAAGGGUUGCCAACCCGCGAGGGGGAGCUAAUCCCACAAAGCCAGUCGUAGUCCGGAUCGUAGUCUGCAACUCGACUACGUGAAGUCGGAAUCGCUAGUAAUCGUGGAUCAGAAUGUCACGGUGAAUACGUUCCCGGGUCUU
rnacentral:rRNA from 1 species